CCUCCUACGGGGGGCAGCAGCCGCGGUAAUACGGAGGAUGCGAGCGUUAUCCGGAUUUAUUGGGUUUAAAGGGUGCGCAGGCGGCCUGUUAAGUCAGCGGUAAAAGCCCGGGGCUCAACCCCGGCGAGCCGUUGAAACUGGCGGGCUGGAGUUGGAGAGAAGUACGCGGAAUGCGCGGUGUAGCGGUGAAAUGCUUAGAUAUCGCGCAGAACCCCGAUUGCGAAGGCAGCGUACCGGCUCCACACUGACGCUGAGGCACGAAAGCGUGGGUAUCGAACAGGAUUAGAAACCCCUGUAGUCCACGG
rnacentral:rRNA from 1 species